CCUACGGGAGACAGCAGUGAGGAAUAUUGGUCAAUGGGCGCGAGCCUGAACCAGCCAAGUAGCGUGAAGGAUGACUGCCCUACGGGUUGUAAACUUCUUUUAUAAAGGAAUAAAAUGAGGCACGUGUGCCUUUUUGUAUGUACUUUAUGAAUAAGGAUCGGCUAACUCCGUGCCAGCAGCCGCGGUAAUACGGAGGAUCCGAGCGUUAUCCGGAGUUAUUGGGUUUAAAGGGAGCGUAGAUGGGUUGUUAAGUCAGUGGUGAAAGUUUGCGGCUCAACCUUAAAACUGCAAUUGAUACUGGCAGCCUUGAGUACAGUUGAGGUAGGCGGAAUUCGUGGUGUAGCGGUGAAAUGCUUAGAUAUCACGAAGAACUCCGAUUGCGAAGGCAGCUUACUAAACUGCCACUGACAUUGAGGCUCGAAAGUGUGGGUAUCAAACAGGAUUAGAUACCCCAGUAGUC
rnacentral:rRNA from 1 species